rnacentral:rRNA from 1 species
GACGAACGCUGGCGGCGUGCUUAACACAUGCAAGUCGAACGAAGAGCGACGGAAGCUUGCUUCUAUCACUCUUAGUGGCGAACGGGUGAGUAACGCGUAAUCAACCUGCCCUUCAGAGGGGGACAACAGUUGGAAACGACUGCUAAUACCGCAUACGAUCUAACCUCGGCAUCGAGGAUAGAUGAAAGGUGGCCUCUACAUGUAAGCUAUCACUGAAGGAGGGGAUUGCGUCUGAUUAGCUAGUUGGAGGGGUAACGGCCCACCAAGGCGAUGAUCAGUAGCCGGUCUGAGAGGAUGAACGGCCACAUUGGGACUGAGACACGGCCCAGACUCCUACGGGAGGCAGCAGUGGGGAAUCUUCCGCAAUAGACGAAAGUCUGACGGAGCAACGCCGCGUGAGUGAUGACGGCCGUCGGGUUGUAAAGCUCUGUUAAUCGGGACGAAAGGCCUUCUUGCGAAUAGUGAGAAGGAUUGACGGUACCGGAAUAGAAAGCCACGGCUAACUACGUG